UUGAACGCUGGCGGCAUGCCUUACACAUGCAAGUCGAACGGUAGAGGGGCAACCCUUGAGAGUGGCGAACGGGUGAGUAAUAUAUCGGAACGCGCCCAGUCGUGGGGGAUAACGCAGCGAAAGCUGCGCUAAUACCGCAUACGAUCUAUGGAUGAAAGCGGGGGAUCGCAAGACCUCGCGCGAUUGGAGCGGCCGAUAUCAGAUUAGGUAGUUGGUGGGGUAAAAGCCCACCAAGCCGACGAUCUGUAGCUG
rnacentral:rRNA from 1 species